GACAGAGGGUGCAAACGUUGUUCGGAAUUACUGGGCGUAAAGCGUGUGUAGGCGGCUUUGCAAGUCGGAUGUGAAAGCCCCGGGCUCAACCCGGGAAGUGCACUCGAUACUGCGGAGCUUGAGUGUCGGAGAGGUUGGUGGAAUUCUCGGUGUAGAGGUGAAAUUCGUAGAUAUCGAGAGGAACACCGGUGGCGAAGGCGGCCAACUGGACGAACACUGACGCUGAGACACGAAAGCGUGGGGAGCAAACAGG
rnacentral:rRNA from 1 species